GUCGAACGCACUCUCGUUUAGAUUGAAGGAGCUUGCUCCUGAUUGAUAAACAUUUGAGUGAGUGGCGGACGGGUGAGUAACACGUGGGUAACCUGCCCUAAAGUGGGGGAUAACAUUUGGAAACAGAUGCUAAUACCGCAUAAAACCUAACACCGCAUGGUGUAGGGUUGAAAGAUGGUUUCGGCUAUCACUUUAGGAUGGACCCGCGGUGCAUUAGUUAGUUGGUGAGGUAAAGGCUCACCAAGACCGUGAUGCAUAGCCGACCUGAGAGGGUAAUCGGCCACACUGGGACUGAGACACGGCCCAGACUCCUACGGGAGGCAGCAGUAGGGAAUCUUCCACAAUGGACGAAAGUCUGAUGGAGCAACGCCGCGUGAGUGAAGAAGGUUUUCGGAUCGUAAAACUCUGUUGUUGGAGAAGAAUGUAUCUGAUAGUAACUGAUCAGGUAGUGACGGUAUCCAACCAGAAAGCCACGGCUAACUACGUGCCAGCAGCCGCGGUAAUACGUAGGUGGCAAGCGUUGUCCGGAUUUAUUGGGCGUAAAGCGAGCGCAGGCGGUUUCUUAAGUCUGAUGUGAAAGCCUUCGGCUCAACCGAAGAAGUGCAUCGGAAACUGGGAAACUUGAGUGCAGAAGAGGACAGUGGAACUCCAUGUGUAGCGGU
rnacentral:rRNA from 2 species